CGGAGGAAAAGAAACUAACAAGGAUUCCCCUAGUAACGGCGAGUGAAGAGGGAAGAGCCCAAGAUUGAAAGCUGGCGUCUUCGGCGUCCGCAUUGUAAUCUCAAGAAGUGUUUUCCGCUUCGGACCAUGCCUAAGUCCCUUGGAAAAGGGCAUCAUAGAGGGUGAUAAUCCCGUACAUGGCAUGGAGCGCCCGAAGCUUUGUGAUACGCUUUCUAAGAGUCGAGUUGUUUGGGAAUGCAGCUCAAAAUGGGUGGUAAAUGCCAUCUAAGGCUAAAUAUUGGGGAGAGACCGAUAGCGAACAAGUACAGUGAUGGAAAGAUGAAAAGAACUUUGAAAAGAGAGUUAAACAGUACGUGAAAUUGCCAAAAGGGAAGGGUAGGAGGUCAGAGAUGCGGCCUGGGAUUCAGCCUUGCUUUUUGCUUGGUGUUUUUCCCAGGUGGCAGGCCAACGUCGGUUUUGGGCACUGGAGAAGGGUGGGAGGAAUGUGGCACCUCUCGGGGUGUGUUAUAGCCUCCUACUGGAUACAGCGACCGAGACCGAGGACAGCAGCGUACUCGCAAGAGCGGGCCUUCGGGCACCUUUACGCUUAGGGCGUUGGCAUAAUGGCCCUCUACCACCCGUCUUGAA
rnacentral:rRNA from 1 species